rnacentral:rRNA from 1 species
AACGAACGCUGGCGGCGUGGAUUAGGCAUGCAAGUCGAACGCGAAAGUGGAGCAAUCCAUGAGUAGAGUGGCGAACUGGUGAGUAACAGGUGGGCAAUGUGCCCCAAAGUGGGGGAUAACUCCGAGAAAUCGGAGCUAAUACCGCAUAAGGCGUCGAGGACCUCGGUUCAUGACGUUAAAGGAGCAAUUCGCUUUGGGAUCGGCCCGCCCCGGAUUAGCUAGUUGGUGAGGUAACGGCUCACCAAGGCGACGAUCCGUAGCUGGUCUGAGAGGAUGGUCAGCCACACUGGAACUGAGAUACGGUCCAGACUCCUACGGGGGGCAGCAGUCUAGAGGCUUCGGCAAUGGGGGCGAACCCUGACCGAGCGACGCCGCGUGCGGGAUGAAGGCGUUUUCGUCGUAAACCGCUGUGUAGGGGAAGAAUGCCCGGAUGGCGAAUCC